rnacentral:rRNA from 1 species
GACGAACGCUGGCGGCGUGCUUAACACAUGCAAGUCGAACGGUGAAGCGCCUUCCUUUUUGGUGGGUGUGGAUGAGUGGCGAACGGGUGAGUAACACGUGAGUAACCUGCCCCCUUCUUCUGGAUAACCGCAUGAAAGUGUGGCUAAUACGGGAUAUUCUGGUUCUGUCGCAUGAUGGGUCUGGGAAAGAUAUUGUUUCGGUGGGGGAUGGGCUCGCGGCCUAUCAGCUUGUUGGUGGGGUGAUGGCCUACCAAGGCGGUGACGGGUAGCCGGCCUGAGAGGGUGGACGGCCAAACUGGGACUGAGACACGGACCAGACUACUACGGGAGGCAGCAGGGGGGAAUAUUGCACAAUGGGAGCAAGCCUGAUGCAGCGACGCCGCGUGAGGGAUGGAGGCCUUCGGGUUGUGAACCUCUUUCGCCAGUGAAGCAGGCCUGCCUCGUUUGUGGGUGGGUUGACGGUAGCUGGAUAAGAAGCGCCGGCUAACUACGUG